rnacentral:lncRNA from 1 species
AAAAGAAAAACUCUUGGCUCGUGCGAAAGUAACUGCAAACAGGGUGGAAGUAGUUGUAGCUAAUGAAUGGAAAGAUGCUAAUGACAAAGUGAUGCCUGUAAAACAAUGGCUUGAAGAAAGAAGAUUCCUGCAGGCAUGAUAGCUUUGCUCACUUCUAAUUUAAAACUUUUGAAUACCAAGUUACUUUUUCUCGCAUAUAGCUCGCAUAGAUUGUUUUUCAAAUAUCAAAAUAAUGUCUUAAAGAUAGAAUAUUGCAAGGAUUAAAUAAGUCUAUAACUAGAAUGAGAAAAAAAUAACAUGAGUUAUAUAAAUCAGUAAGUUCCAGCCCUUAAAACAUCCAAUGUCAUAUCAGAACACUAAAAGAACACAUGGUAGUGUCAAACUUACAAGUUUGUAAGCCUUGAAUUGAUUGAUCUUGUAUAUGUAUGCCGCUAACUUGCAGAGUAUGUGGUGGCUGCAACCAGGACAUUGGCUAUGGCAACUAUUUGGGAUGCAUGGGGACAUUUUUUCAUCCGGAAUGCUUUUGUUGUCGUGCAUGUGGCUCCCCAAUCACCGAGCAUGAGGUAGUUUCUUCUUCUUGCGUCUUUUGUAUUAUAUUUCCCCCCUUCCCCAGUUCAAAACACCUACAUCACACCCCUUAAAAAUGGAAAUUUUGAUUGUUUGUGUGAGGGGUGUGUGUGUGUGCCUGCAUCCA